rnacentral:tRNA from 1 species
GCCUUGGUAGCUCAGUCGGUAGAGCGCCGGACUGAAAAUCCGUAUGUCGGCGGUUCGAUUCCACCCCAAGGCACCA